rnacentral:rRNA from 1 species
AUGUUUGCCGCUGUGUGCACGAGUCCGGAUGGAGUCCUCGGGGUCAUGGUCGCGUUUCAGAAUACACCCUUCGUACUCUUUGCUAGUACAAGACGUGGGGUGGAGUUUAUCUGCCUUACACUUCUACCCACAUGCAAGCCCAUUAUCAUUCAAAGGAAAACUUUACAUGUUGCAGGAGCAGAUAUCUGUGGUUGGCUGGGAACUAAAUAUUCUUCAGUUCGACCCACCUUGGCAAGAGAAUUCAACGAUAUCAGGUUUAGCUUCGUCCUCUUUCUUGUCGCCAAGUUAGUUGCCACAUGUCCGGCGGAUAAGUUCCAAUCGCCCGAGCUUGUAGAAUGCGACUAUGAGAUCCUGGUGGUUGGCUAUAGAGAAGGUGGAGAGAUUCUCAUUUACAGAUUAGCAGAUCUUGCCCAAGGAAAGUUUGUCCCAGUAAAAAGCAUCGGUGGAAAUGCUCUUUUGAUUGAUACUAAAAGGAACCUGACUUUUAGUUUCUCAGCGGUGCCUAUCAUCACGGGUGAUAUCAUUGUGCUUGCGAAUCCUCCCCUUGCUAAAUAUAUUUUGCAAUAUGACCCCAGCAGCAAUACCUGGUCAUCAAGAGUUAGGGGAUGUGCAAAACAUGGUUGUAGCAUGGAGUGCUGUACUUGUAGCCUCAUUGACCAUAUGUGUAAUACAUGUCGCUGUGUUUCUAAGUGGAAUAAAGGUGGUGGAAUAAUCGAUCCGGCCAGGUGGAACAAUAAUCAUUUCAUUGCCAACAAUAUUGGAUGGCAUAUCUAG